GGGUGGUAAUGCCGGAUGCUCCAGUUGAUCGCAUGGUCUUCUGGGAAAGCUUUCGCGGUAUGGGAUGGGGUCGCGUCCUAUCAGCUUGACGGCGGGGUAACGGCCCACCGUGGCUUCGACGGGUAGCCGGCCUGAGAGGGCGACCGGCCACAUUGGGACUGAGAUACGGCCCAGACUCCUACGGGAGGCAGCAGUGGGGAAUAUUGCACAAUGGGCGCAAGCCUGAUGCAGCGACGCCGCGUGAGGGAUGGAGGCCUUCGGGUUGUAAACCUCUUUUAUCGGGGAGCAAGCGAGAGUGAGUUUACCCGUUGAAUAAGCACCGGCUAACUACGUGCCAGCAGCCGCGGUAAUACGUAGGGUGCAAGCGUUAUCCGGAAUUAUUGGGCGUAAAGGGCUCGUAGGCGGUUCGUCGCGUCCGGUGUGAAAGUCCAUCGCUUAACGGUGGAUCCGCGCCGGGUACGGGCGGGCUUGAGUGCGGUAGGGGAGACUGGAAUUCCCGGUGUAACGGUGGAAUGUGUAG
rnacentral:rRNA from 1 species